CAAAGGGAAAUCUUUUGAUAAACACAGACUUUUUUUGUGGGGGGAGAUACAUGUCGUGUUUAAUUCCUUCUGUAUGAGAGUUUUUUCUCUUUUCCCCCUUUAUUCGCUCAUCUAUCAUUAAUUGUUGAAUGUGUCGUGAACAUUCAAGUUUCUUACGGAUACGGAGAAUAAGGGUUUGAUUCCGGAGAGGGAGCAUGAGAAAUGGCUACUACAUCUAAGGGUGGCAGCAGGCGCGAAAAUUGCCCAAUACAGACUCUGUGAGGCAGUGACAAAAAAUAACAAUAGAAACGUCAUUUUUGGCGAUUCUAAUUGGAAUGAGAACAAGAUAAAAUUUUUAACGAGAAACUAGAAGAGGGCAAGUCUGGUGCCAGCAGCCGCGGUAAUACCAGCUCUUCUAGCAUAUAUUAAAAUUGCUGCAGUUAAAACGCUCGUAGUUUGAAUUAUUUUCCACGUGUGGGAUGAGGAAUCGUAGCUUUGGGGCAUUGCCUCACGGCGUGUGCCAGAACUGCGAAAGUAUAAUCCUCAUCCUCGGUGCGAAAGAUAUAAAAGACUUUUGGUGCAGGGUGUGUUGAUUCGUGCCCUCAUCAUAUAACCAUGAACAAAAAUUAUUGCUCAAAGAAGGACUCUAACGUCUAUUGAGAUUUCAGCAUGGGAUUAUGGAAUAAGGGAAGAGGGGGUUUCGGCUCUUUUCACCCGCUGGCGUGGCCAUCUGUGCGUGUCGGGGUUACAGCCGUGUGCGCCGGUCCGCUGUGGGCUCUUUCAAUGGUUAAUGAGGACGAUGCGUGGAAGUUCAUAUUAAAAUGUCAGAGGUGAAAUUCUUGGAUUAUUUUAAGAUGAACAUCAGCGAAGGCAUCCUUCAAGUGCGUGCCUGUCAAUCAAGAACGAAAGUUGGGGGAUCGAAGACGAUCAGAUACCGUCGUAGUCUCAACAGUAAACUAUGCCGACUAUGAAUUGGAUAUCGUUUUAAGAGGUUUUCGUUUGCAAGUUCCCGCAAGGGUCUUGCCGCCUCUGAUGACUUCUCCAGCGCAUUACAAGAAAUUAAGAGUUUUUGGGUUCCGGGGGGAGUAUAGUCGCAAGGCCGAAACUUAAAGGAAUUGACGGAAGGGCACCACCAGGUGUGGAGCCUGCGGCUUAAUUUGACCCAACACGGGGAAACUUACCAGGUCCAAACAGCGUGAGGAUUGACAGAUUGAUAGCUCUUUCAUGAUUCGUUGGGUGGUGGUGCAUGGCCGUUUUUAGUUGGUGGUGUGAGUUGUCUGGUUGAUUCCGUUAACGAACGAGACCUUUGUUGUAUAAUAGGAGGCACUAGUAUGAC
rnacentral:rRNA from 1 species